rnacentral:rRNA from 1 species
AUUGAACGCUGGCGGCAGGCCUAACACAUGCAAGUCGAACGGUAACAGGAAGAAGCUUGCUUCUUUGCUGUCGAGUGGCGGACGGGUGAGUAAUGUCUGGGAAACUGCCUGAUGGAGGGGGAUAACUACUGGAAACGGUAGCUAAUACCGCAUAACGUCGCAAGCCCAAAGAGGGGGACCUUCGGGCCUCUUGCCAUCGGAUGUGCCCAGAUGGGAUUAGCUAGUAGGUGGGGUAACGGCUCACCUAGGCGACGAUCCGUAGCUGGUCUGAGAGGAUGACCAGCCACACUGGAACUGAGACACGGUCCAGACUCCUACGGGAGGCAGCAGUGGGGAAUAUUGCACAAUGGGCGCAAGCCUGAUGCAGCCAUGCCGCGUGUAUGAAGAAGGCCUUCGGGUUGUAAAGUACUUUCAGCGGGGAGGAAGGGAGUAAAGUUAAUACCUUUGCUCAUUGACGUUACCCGCAGAAGAAGCACCGGCUAACUCCGUG